AGUCUUGUGGAUAAGAGCAUGGAACGAUACAUUAUAUGACAUUGGAUCGUAUCUAGCUUCAUACACUUACUUUCUUAUUGAGAAGUCUUCUUCGAAGUUGGUUUUUAAACAUAAUUUAUGUCUGUGUAAUAAAAAGAUAAGUCGUCUUUUAUUACAUAGUAUAGUCAACUCCCUAUCAUUCGUAAAAAACGUAGCAAAAGUGUUGUAAAACUAUAUUUAACGUAUUUGUCGCGCUUGUUACACCUCUGACUGUGACAAACGUUCGUUCUCCACCCGCGCUCAGUGUGUGUGUGUGCACGCGUCGAUUAACUGAAAAGGUCUUUGCCUCACUGCCGCUCAACCACAUUAUGGAGUCACCCAAAGGCUUAGAACACACCCGUCGUAGCCGGCCCUCUCUAGUUGAAAGCUACUACAAUAUUUACACAAUUGCAUUACAGGCUUAGGGAGAGAGAGAGAGAGACACAGAUAUUUGUGGUUGGAGGAUGAAGGAAAGAGUCUAACGAACACCUAACGGGCGUGAUAGAUCGUCUAGCGGUGUGUUACAACACAGAAAUCCCUCCAGCAUGCACAGACAGCAGUAACCUGCUGGUAAUAUACAAACCUACACGGGUAACGUCAAGUAGGGGCGACGACGUGAUGAUACGAAGAUGAUAUCAUGUACAUACUGGGCAGAGUGUGUGUGAGUGUGUUUACUUUCGGCCCCGGAUUGUGCGGGAGUUUCGAGCGGCACCGGCAGCACUAAAGAGAGUGAAUGCACGAAGUACCUCCGUCCGUCCGUCGUUUGUGCGAUGAGUUGAUUGCUUGAGGCUAAAGGAAGGCCGCUACGCGCGGUAUGAUCGACGAAAAGUGUAAUUAUCGUAUGACAACAUCGUAUCAAACACCAGCCAGGUUAACGCGACGGGACGGUUCGGAUUCGUUGCGCGAUCAACCCAGGGGACCGACCAACGUGGCUGAAACGGCUGGUUCGGUUGGGUUCAUACGAGUGAACAUUCUUCAAAAAAUUAUAGCUAAUUAUACUCAUGAUGCGUCGUACCGUCGUUCAUCAUCUAUAUAAUAUGCUGAAAAAUUUCCAAUAAAUACACCAGCAUAUUUUUCUAUUUACCUUCAGGCAGUGAAUUACAUUAAACGUUAUUUUAAGAUCCCCCACCUUCGCUCCAAAAACUGUGAUAAGAGCACUGUGAUGAGAAGCAAUUAAAUUAAGGCAGUCAAGCGGGUACUAGGGAGAGAGUGAGCGAGAAAUUUCAUUAAUCCGCAUAGUUGCGUCAGAGAACGAUUUUGGGUAAAUUGAACACAUUUGAAUUGGAUAAUGGGGGAAAUGUGAUAAUAAGUAUAACACCUUUUUUCAAUUAAAUACGAAAGUAUUGGGAAGAAAAGGAAGGAAGUUAAGCCAAGAUAUUGCUAACUACUGAAGGAUGAAAUAUAUUAAAAAAUCAACAAUUAAGCAAUAAAAACUGAUCAAAUAUUGGUACAAAA